ACACGACUACAUUAGAUACCCGCGUAGUCCUAGGCGUAAAUGAUGCGAGUUAAGUGUGGGGGCAUCUACGAGAUGGCCCUGUGCUGUAGGGUAGCCGUUAAACUCGCUGCCUGGGAAGUACGGUCGCAAGGCUGAAACUUAAAGGAAUUGGCGGGGGAGCACCACAACAGGUGGAGCCUGCGGUUUAAUUGGAUUCAACGCCGGACAUCUCACCGGAUAAGACAGCUGAAUGAUUGUCAAUCUGAAGGUUUUACAUGACUAGCUG
rnacentral:rRNA from 1 species